rnacentral:sRNA from 1 species
AAAUGCGAUAAGUAAUGUGAAUUGCAGAAUUCAGUGAAUCAUCGAAUCUUUGAACGCACCUUGCGCUCCUUGGUAUUCCGAGGAGCAUGCCUGUUUGAGUGUCUUGAAGUCAUCAACCCCUCCCGUUUCGUGCGAGAAGGGUUGGAUGUGGGGGCUCUGCUGCCGUUGAGGCGGCUCCCCUCAAAUGCAUCGGUUGGGCCUGUGGGUCGAACUCGACUGGGCGUUGUACCAUCCUCGCUCGACAGAGACGUUCCCCUUUCUGCGCCCUUCCCCGACCUGCCUAUCGAGAGUGGCGGUCAAGCAACAAACUUUGAAAUCUGACCUCAAAUCAGGUAGGACUACCCGCUGAACUUAA